rnacentral:rRNA from 1 species
AGAUUCAAUAUUGUUGGUAACAACAAUGUGCACUUCUCAUUUAGUAAGACGUUGUGAUCCAUUAGAAAUUGAUUGUAUCAACAAUUAUGAGGUUAUCAAUAGACUGAUAUAAAGUUCAUCAAUAUAAAUGACUUAAUCUUUAAUGGUUGGGUGUAUUAUAUGGUGAGUAUAUCAUGUACUGCUUAUAACUGUCUGAUGGAUUUUAAAGGCUAUAAUAUUGAUGUUCGCAUCACCCUGAUUAUGUGCCCGAUCAACAACGGUUAAAUUUGGGAUACCUUUUGGACCCGUCUUGAAACACGGACCAAGGAGUCUAUCUAUAGCGCGAGUAAAUGGGUAUAUUAAACCUAUUUGCGUAAAAAACUUGACUGUUAUGGGAUUACAAGU